GUUCACUUUGGCAGCACAUAUACUAAAAUUGGAAUGACACAGAGAAGAUUAGCAUGGCCGCUACGCAAGGAUGACACGCAAAUUCGGGUUCUGUGACUCCCUCUC